UACGAAGGGGGCUAGCGUUGUUCGGAAUUACUGGGCGUAAAGGGCGCGUAGGCGGUACUUCAAGUCAGGCGUGAAAGCCCCGGGCUCAACCUGGGAACCGCGCUUGAGACUGGAGAACUAGAGUUCGGGAGAGGAUGGUGGGAUUCCCAGUGUAGAGGUGAAAUUCGUAGAUAUUGGGAAGAACACCGAUGGCGAAGGCAGCCAUCUGGACCGACACUGACGCUGAGGCGCGAAAGCGUGGGGAGCAAACAGG
rnacentral:rRNA from 1 species